rnacentral:rRNA from 1 species
AGGGUUCGAUCCUGGCUCAGGAUAAACGCUGGCGGCGUGCCUAAUACAUGCAAGUCGAUCGAGAGCGGAGCAAUCCGCGAAAGAGGCGAACGGGUGAGUAAUACAUAAGCAACCUGGCCACAAAGACGGGGAUAACACCUGGAAACGGGCGCUAAUACCGGAUAAGUGAAGGUGGGGCAUCCCACCAUCAUAAAAGGGAGAGAAACGCGAGUGGAUGGGCUUAUGGUGCAUUAGUUAGUUGGCGGGAUAAAGGCCCACCAAGACGAUGAUGCAUAGCCGGACUGAGAGGUUGAACGGCCACAUUGGGACUGAGACACGGCCCAG